GAUGAACGCUGGCGGCGUGUCUAAUACAUGCAAGUCGAGCGAACAGACGAGGAGCUUGCUCCUCUGACGUUAGCGGCGGACGGGUGAGUAACACGUGGAUAACCUACCUAUAAGACUGGGAUAACUUCGGGAAACCGGAGCUAAUACCGGAUAAUAUAUUGAACCGCAUGGUUCAAUAGUGAAAGACGGUUUUGCUGUCACUUAUAGAUGGAUCCGCGCCGCAUUAGCUAGUUGGUAAGGUAACGGCUUACCAAGGCAACGAUGCGUAGCCGACCUGAGAGGGUGAUCGGCCACACUGGAACUGAGACACGGUCCAGACUCCUACGGGAGGCAGCAGUAGGGAAUAUUGCACAAUGGGCGGAAGCCUGAUGCAGCGACGCCGCGUGAGGGAUGACGGCCUUCGGGUUGUAAACCUCUUUCAGCACGGAAGAAGCGAAAGUGACGGUACGUGCAGAAGAAGCGCCGGCUAACUACGUG
rnacentral:rRNA from 1 species